rnacentral:rRNA from 1 species
AGUUGGUGGAGCGAUUUGUCUGGUUAAUUCCGAUAACGAACGAGACUCUAGCCUGCUAAAUAGUUCGUCGGUCCCGAUGUGCCGGCGUCAACUUCUUAGAGGGACAAGCGGCGUUUAGCCGCACGAGAUUGAGCAAUAACAGG